rnacentral:rRNA from 1 species
UCCAGACUCCUACGGGAGGCAGCAGUGGGGGAUAUUGCACAAUGGGGGAAACCCUGAUGCAGCGACGCCGCGUGGGUGAAGAAGCGCCUCGGCGCGUAAAGCCCUGUCAGCAGGGAAGAAAAUGACGGUACCUGAAGAAGAAGCCCCGGCUAACUACGUGCCAGCAGCCGCGGUAAUACGUAGGGGGCAAGCGUUAUCCGGAUUUACUGGGUGUAAAGGGAGCGUAGACGGUCCUGCAAGCCAGAUGUGAAAGCCCGGGGCUCAACCCCGGGACUGCUCUGGAAACUGCGUCGCUGGAGUACGGGAGGGGCAGGCGGAAUUCCUGGUGUAGCGGUGAAAUGCGUAGAUAUCAGGAGGAACACCGGCGGCGAAGGCGGCCUGCUGGACCGUGACUGACGUUGAGGCUCGAGAGCGUGGGGAGCAAACAGGAUUAGAUACCCGCGUA